CAUGCAGUCGAACGGAGAUUAUUUCGAUAAUCUUAGUGGCGAACGGGUGAGUAACGCGUGGGCAACCUGCCCUCUAGAUGGGGACAACAUCCCGAAAGGGGUGCUAAUACCGAAUGUGACAGCAAUCUCGCAUGAGGAUGCUGUGAAAGAUGGCCUCUAUUUAUAAGCUAUCGCUAGAGGAUGGGCCUGCGUCUGAUUAGCUAGUUGGUGGGGUAACGGCCUACCAAGGCGAUGAUCAGUAGCCGGUCUGAGAGGAUGAACGGCCACAUUGGGACUGAGACACGGCCCAGACUCCUACGGGAGGCAGCAGUGGGGAAUCUUCCGCAAUGGGCGAAAGCCUGACGGAGCAAUGCCGCGUGAGUGAUGAAGGAAUUCGUUCCGUAAAGCUCUUUUGUUUAUGACGAAUGUGCAGAUUGUGAAUAAUGAUUUGUAAUGACGGUAGUAAACGAAUAAGCCACGGCUAACUACGUGCCAGCAGCCGCGGUAAUACGUAGGUGGCGAGCGUUGUCCGGAAUUAUUGGGCGUAAAGAGCAUGUAGGCGGUUUUUUAAGUCUGGAGUGAAAAUGCGGGGCUCAACCCCGUAUGGCUCUGGAUACUGGAAGACUUGAGUGCAGGAGAGGAAAGGGGAAUUCCCAGUGUAGCGGUGAAAUGCGUAGAUAUUGGGAGGAACACCAGUGGCGAAGGCGCCUUUCUGGACUGUGUCUGACGCUGAGAUGCGAAAGCCAGGGUAGCGAACGGGAUUAGAUACCCC
rnacentral:rRNA from 1 species